UAAAAUAAUAAAGCUGUUUUAAAGACAGCAGGUGCUUUUGCAUAAAGGGUUUCGCCCGCCUGCCGAGAAACGCGAAAAAACAUUCAAUUGUAUUUUUUUGCCUCUUUCUCGCAAGGGAAAGAGGCUUUUUUAUGUGCUUA
rfam:Subdoligranulum sp. 4_3_54A2FAA genomic scaffold supercont1.5, whole genome shotgun sequence.